rnacentral:pre_miRNA from 1 species
UAAAUACUACCUCCGUUUCAUAAUUCUUGUCGAAAUAUUACAUGUAUCUAGUCGCUUUUUAGGAAUAGAUACAUCCAAUUUUGGGCAAAUUUGAGACAAAAAUUAUGAAACAGGGGGAGUAUUAA